rnacentral:rRNA from 1 species
UUAAGCGACUAAGCGUACACGGUGGAUGCCCUGGCAGUCAGAGGCGAUGAAGGACGUGCUAAUCUGCGAAAAGCGUCGGUAAGGUGAUAUGAACCGUUACAGCCGGCGAUGUCCGAAUGGGGAAACCCAGUGCAAUUCGUUGCACUAUCGUUAACUGAAUACAUAGGUUAACGAGGCGAACCGGGGGAACUGAAACAUCUAAGUACCCCGAGGAAAAGAAAUCAACCGAGAUUCCCCCAGUAGCGGCGAGCGAACGGGGAGCAGCCCAGAGUCUGAAUCAGCUUGUGUGUUAGUGGAACGGUCUGGAAAGUCCGACGGUACAGGGUGAUAGUCCCGUACACCAAAAUGCACAGGCUGUGAACUCGAAGAGUAGGGCGGGACACGUGGUAUCCUGUCUGAAUAUGGGGGGACCAUCCUCCAAGGCUAAAUACUCCUGACUGACCGAUAGUGAACCAGUACCGUGAGGGAAAGGCGAAAAGAACCCCGGCGAGGGGAGUGAAAAAGAACCUGAAACCGUGUACGUACAAGCAGUGGGAGCACCUUCGGGUGUGACUGCGUACCUUUUGUAUAAUGGGUCAGCGACUUAUAUUCUGUAGCAAGGUUAACCGUAUAGGGGAGCCGCAGGGAAACCGAGUCUUAACUGGGCGUUAAGUUGCAGGGUAUAGACCCGAAACCCGGUGAUCUAGCCAUGGGCAGGUUGAAGGUUGGGUAACACUAACUGGAGGACCGAACCGACUAAUGUUGAAAAAUUAGCGGAUGACUUGUGGCUGGGGGUGAAAGGCCAAUCAAACCGGGAGAUAGCUGGUUCUCCCCGAAAGCUAUUUAGGUAGCGCCUCGUGAACUCAUCUUCGGGGGUAGAGCACUGUUUCGGCUAGGGGGUCAUCCCGACUUACCAACCCGAUGCAAACUACGAAUACCGAAGAAUGUUAUCACGGGAGACACACGGCGGGUGCUAACGUCCGUCGUGAAGAGGGAAACAACCCAGACCGCCAGCUAAGGUCCCAAAGUCAUGGUUAAGUGGGAAACGAUGUGGGAAGGCACAGACAGCCAGGAUGUUGGCUUAGAAGCAGCCAUCAUUUAAAGAAAGCGUAAUAGCUCACUGGUCGAGUCGGCCUGCGCGGAAGAUGUAACGGGGCUAAACCAUGCACCGAAGCUGCGGCAGCGACACUAUGUGUUGUUGGGUAGGGGAGCGUUCUGUAAGCCUGCGAAGGUGUGCUGUGAGGCAUGCUGGAGGUAUCAGAAGUGCGAAUGCUGACAUAAGUAACGAUAAAGCGGGUGAAAAGCCCGCUCGCCGGAAGACCAAGGGUUCCUGUCCAACGUUAAUCGGGGCAGGGUGAGUCGACCCCUAAGGCGAGGCCGAAAGGCGUAGUCGAUGGGAAACAGGUUAAUAUUCCUGUACUUGGUGUUACUGCGAAGGGGGGACGGAGAAGGCUAUGUUAGCCGGGCGACGGUUGUCCCGGUUUAAGCAUGUAGGCUGGUUAUCCAGGCAAAUCCGGAUAAUCAAGGCUGAGGUGUGAUGACGAGGCACUACGGUGCUGAAGUAACAAAUGCCCUGCUUCCAGGAAAAGCCUCUAAGCAUCAGGUAACAUUCAAUCGUACCCCAAACCGACACAGGUGGUCAGGUAGAGAAUACCAAGGCGCUUGAGAGAACUCGGGUGAAGGAACUAGGCAAAAUGGUGCCGUAACUUCGGGAGAAGGCACGCUGGUGUGUAGGUGAAGUCCCUGCGGAUGGAGCUGAGACCAGUCGAAGAUACCAGCUGGCUGCAACUGUUUAUUAAAAACACAGCACUGUGCAAACACGAAAGUGGACGUAUACGGUGUGACGCCUGCCCGGUGCCGGAAGGUUAAUUGAUGGGGUUAUCCGUAAGGAGAAGCUCUUGAUCGAAGCCCCGGUAAACGGCGGCCGUAACUAUAACGGUCCUAAGGUAGCGAAAUUCCUUGUCGGGUAAGUUCCGACCUGCACGAAUGGCGUAAUGAUGGCCAGGCUGUCUCCACCCGAGACUCAGUGAAAUUGAACUCGCUGUGAAGAUGCAGUGUACCCGCGGCAAGACGGAAAGACCCCGUGAACCUUUACUAUAGCUUGACACUGAACAUUGAGCCUUGAUGUGUAGGAUAGGUGGGAGGCUUUGAAGCGUGGACGCCAGUCUGCGUGGAGCCAACCUUGAAAUACCACCCUUUAAUGUUUGAUGUUCUAACGUUGGCCCCUGACCGGGGUUGCGGACAGUGUCUGGUGGGUAGUUUGACUGGGGCGGUCUCCUCCCAAAGCGUAACGGAGGAGCACGAAGGUUAGCUAAUCCUGGUCGGACAUCAGGAGGUUAGUGCAAUGGCAUAAGCUAGCUUGACUGCGAGCGUGACGGCGCGAGCAGGUGCGAAAGCAGGUCAUAGUGAUCCGGUGGUUCUGAAUGGAAGGGCCAUCGCUCAACGGAUAAAAGGUACUCCGGGGAUAACAGGCUGAUACCGCCCAAGAGUUCAUAUCGACGGCGGUGUUUGGCACCUCGAUGUCGGCUCAUCACAUCCUGGGGCUGAAGUAGGUCCCAAGGGUAUGGCUGUUCGCCAUUUAAAGUGGUACGCGAGCUGGGUUUAGAACGUCGUGAGACAGUUCGGUCCCUAUCUGCCGUGGGCGCUGGAGAAUUGAGGGGGGCUGCUCCUAGUACGAGAGGACCGGAGUGGACGCAUCACUGGUGUUCGGGUUGUCAUGCCAAUGGCACUGCCCGGUAGCUAAAUGCGGAAGAGAUAAGUGCUGAAAGCAUCUAAGCACGAAACUUGCCCCGAGAUGAGUUCUCCCUGAGACUUUAAGUCUCCUGAAGGAACGUUAAAGACGAUGACGUUGAUAGGCCGGGUGUGUAAGCGCAGCGAUGCGUUGAGCUAACCGGUACUAAUGAACCGUGAGGCUUAACCUU